GCCUGGGUGGCACAGUUGGUUGAGCGUCCGACUUCGGCUCAGGUCAUGAUCUCACAGUUUGUGGGUUCACGCCCCACAUCAGGCU
rnacentral:tRNA from 1 species